AGAACAGCCUCCAUCAUUCGUUCAAAGAGGAUCCGUUUCGGCCUGCCAGUAUCCACUCUGUAGAUCUAUGGUGCUGAACCAAAUUGCACGAGCUAUCAGGUCGAGUGUCUCGUCGAUUCUGGGUAAAGGGACGAUUGGUGAGGCCCAGGG